UACGAAGGGGGCUAGCGUUGUUCGGAAUCACUGGGCGUAAAGGGCGCGUAGGCGGCUUUGUAAGUCGGGGGUGAAAGCCUGUGGCUCAACCACAGAAUUGCCUUCGAUACUGCAUGGCCUGAGACCGGAAGAGGUAAGUGGAACUGCGAGUGUAGAGGUGAAAUUCGUAGAUAUUCGCAAGAACACCAGUGGCGAAGGCGGCUUACUGGUCCGGUUCUGACGCUGAGGCGCGAAAGCGUGGGGAGCAAACAGG
rnacentral:rRNA from 1 species